rnacentral:lncRNA from 1 species
AUAACUAGGGCAAUAAAGUAUCAGAACUCAUGAGUCUGUAUCAUUGGCCAGAUAUUGAAAAAUAAGCUGCCAGAUUAGCCAGCUGGCCAGGGUAUAAGUGCACCUACAAGAUAACCUUACAUGUGGCAUUGUAUGACUACAGAAGUGACAGGUAGAUUUCCUAAACUAUUGCUUUCAGGAUUUUACUUAUUUCAAAGGGUCAUUCCAAAAACAAAAGCCAAGGGGCUUAUAGUACAGUGCAGAGGUGAGGAACACGUCCAGAGGCAGCCUUGCACUUGCUGACACAAAUGCAGCAGGUUCACUGACACGAAGAGACUAAUAACAGGUGAUCUUAUGGAUAUUUGGGAGCUGCAGUGGAUACUGUUUAAUAUAAGACUAUAAUUGGGCCGGGCGCGGUGGCUCACGCCUGUAAUCCCAGCACUUUGGGAGGCCGAGGCGGGUGGAUCAUGAGGUCAGGAGAUCGAGACCAUCCUGGCUAACAAGGUGAAACCCCGUCUCUACUAAAAAAUACAAAAAAUUAGCCGGGCGCGGUGGCGGGCGCCUGUAGUCCCAGCUACUCGGGAGGCUGAGGCAGGAGAAUGGCGUGAACCCGGGAAGCGGAGCUUGCAGUGAGCCGAGAUUGCGCCACUGCAGUCCGCAGUCCGGCCUGGGCGACAGAGCGAGACUCCGUCUCAAAAAAAAAAAAAAAAAAAAAGACUAUAAUUGGACCACAAAUGAAGUUGGGGGGUGGGAUUCUGGGUCCAGUGUGAGCCAAAUUAGCUCCUGAUAAACUCUCUCAGUUGGACAAACUUGAAUCAAGAAUUUUAGACACCUCAGCUACACUUUUUCAUCCUUUAGAGGAUUAAGUAAUCCUUUACCUGAACUGAAACUUGUUUCAAAAGUACAAGAUGCAAACAUAGCAAAGGCUGUGAAAGAAACAUCUGACCAUCUACUUUCUUAGCAUUCAGAAUAUCUGAAAUAAGCAGAUAUUUGGCUGCCGUUGUCAAUGAAAACUUAAACAGUAUGAAAUUGUAGUUGUGGCUACAAGUGAAUACAGGGAAGCCGGGCUGGAGAGUGUUGCACAGCCGUCAACCUGUGGUUAUAGCAAGAAGCCCUUUCUUAGGUACUUUUGUCCAUCUCUAUUCUUUUAUAACAACAACAAAAUGGCUGUGCUAAGUAAAACAAUCUGUAUUUUAUUCAGAGCCAGCUUCUAAUCUCCUUGACUCUAAAACAAAAUAUCAAUAUUUAUUUCUGCUUGAUCUAGCUGCCAAAAGACUCUUGUCUAUAUAAAUCACACUCACAGUUUUAUCUAUGUUUAAGGUAAUGAAGACCUAAUCUAUAUGUGGCUGUAGAAGGUAUUUAUUUUGCUGUUUACUGUCGUGCAGAUGUAGUUGGUAGAGCAGGUGGUAGGUCCUCAAGUGACCGUUUGGCCAGGAGGGAGUGUUUGGUGUCCAGCAAGCAGUGCUGAGUCAUUUCACUCGGUCAAUACACUUGGUGAUGGAACCUGCAGUAACAUUUCAAUUUAGAAAGAGCCAAAUGGAGAUGCCAUGCUCACUCCAAAGUUUCUGACACUCUGCUUGGUAAACGGACUUCAGAUUGUUUUAGUGCCUUCAGCACAUUUAUUUUCGACAAAUUUGGAAUAUCCUUGAAACUGAAUUGGGCACAAGGAGGUAUAUAUUUCAAUAAUUUGAAUGGGUCAAAUGGAAGGUUCACGUAUUCUCCUUUCAAAAGUGUUUUAGAUCAAUGAUCAAGAUUUUGUAAAUCUACAAUGUUGAGUUAAUUUUACCCACAUGCAAAAGAGGCUGAGAGGUAUAUUUCCUUGAAGCCAGUACAUAUUCUAUAGCUUAAGUGUAUGUCUGGGUCCCAGGAAGAAGCUGAUGUUUGUUGAAAUCACACAUUCGGCAACAUGGCUAUAAUUCCUGGAUGGUGACAUUUCACCAAAGGAAGCAACUUAGGA